rnacentral:rRNA from 1 species
AGAAUCAACGCUGGCGGCGUGCCUAACACAUGCAAGUCGCACGAGAAAGGGACUUCGGUCCUGAGUACAGUGGCGCACGGGUGAGUAACACGUGAAUAAUCUACCUCCGAGUGGGGAAUAACUGAGAGAAAUCUUAGCUAAUACCGCAUAACACUUACGAGUCAAAGCAGCAAUGCGCUUGGAGAGGAGUUCGCGGCAGAUUAGUUAGUUGGCGGGGUAAUGGCCCACCAAGACGAUGAUCUGUAUCCGGCCUGAGAGGGCGCACGGACACACUGGAACUGAAACACGGUCCAGACUCCUACGGGAGGCAGCAGUGGGGAAUUUUGCGCAAUGGGGGAAACCCUGACGCAGCAACGCCGCGUGGAGGAUGAAAUCCCUUGGGAUGUAAACUCCUUUCGAUCGGGAAGAUAAUGACGGUACCGAGAGAAGAAGCCCGGCUAACUUCGUGCUAGCAGCCGC